rnacentral:tRNA from 1 species
GCCUCCGUGGCGGAAUGGUAGACGCGAUAGACUCAAAAUCUAUUGUCCUUAUGGAUGUGUCCGUUCGAGUCGGACCGGAGGUACCA